UUCUCAUAUAUUAUUUUAUACAUAUACUAAAACUCAGUUUUAUAGCUCUGUUCAUUAACAGUGAACAGAUGAAAAUGCCCUUGGUUUCUUAUUUGUUAGUUGUGCUGUUCCCACUCUCCUACAGUAAAUUGACUGUUUUGUCCAUGAACGCCACACGUUGAUGAUCGUUGAUCUUGAUGGUUCCAUUCCGUCUUCUUCACCUUACCUUUCAGUUUCAUUUUGUAUCCCUCACAAGUCUCUGCUUCUGUCCGUCUUCAUGUUGCUCUCUUCCUCUCAAAUCCUUUGUUGUUUUUCUCAUAGAAUAGUCACCAGUAAACUGGGUUUUCGUUUGUUUGGGGAUUUUGUUUCCAGUCUCCUUUAUGCAAAUGUAUUCUAGCAAUGCUUAUAAAGAUGACUGUUAGUUUAUCAAAGAAGGACUCUGGAAUGGUAGAAAACACAAAAGGUUUGCAAGAAUUGAGUUUUAUCUGUUUUGUUUCAUUGAAUAUAGAUAGGAAUUCAGAAUUCAAAGAAUGAUAAAAUUCUUACAUUUUGCUCCAAAAGUUGCAAUUUCAAUCCUACGUCGACAAAUUUCUCGGACGGCCACUUACUAGAGCUUGACAUUCAGAUUCAAUGGCUAGAUUGGCAACAAAUUUAUUGGGAAAUGCAUCUUCAAAGGUAUGCCUCUGGAGCAGAUUUAAAGGAGUUGGAACUUCAACGCUACAUGGAGGAACUUGUCAUAAGUUCGGUGGCCAGAGCUUGACGUUGGCAACAAAUUUACUCGCAAAUGCAUAUUCGAAAGCAUGGAUGGACCGGUCGAUACAAAACGCAUAUGUGGGACAAUAUUUGCAACAAAGAAGGGCAGAGCAGGAGGGGAAGGCAAGGUUUGUCAAGAAAACACAAUGAUGUUUUUAAUUACAGGAAAUGUGCAUUUUUUUCCUAGUCAAAUUCUGCUUUUGUUCUGACUAUUUUCCAUACCAUAUGCUGGUUUUAUUUUUUAAUUUUUGGUUUGUCUUUGAUUAGCUGGGGAAUUAAAAUCAAAUGAUGAAUCUUUAGUUUACUUGGGUAAGAAUUUUUUCACAUAUAAUUUGGCUGACCAUUUUAACUAUCAAACCAUGUUGUUUUAGUUCAUGCUACUAAUCAUGCAUUCAGUAGAUUUAUAUAUACAACAGCGUUUAAAUGCUAAUCGAUUACUAACAUAAUGCAGUCUUUACAGGAAAAGCAAUGGAUUCUCAAGAAGGGCUUCAAUGUACAUAAGAAUUACAAGAUGUCAUCAACAUGAAAGAUGGCUAGCCAGGAGUGGAAAUGUUGCCAGAAAUAAGGAUCUUUAUCUUGGGACAUUCAGUCGAAGAAGAUCCUUUCCAACUUAUGCAAAACUUGACUUCUUUCCCCGCAAAAAAACACUAGGUAAACACAAUCUAUCCUUAUUUUGUUCAUAAUAUAAUUCUAUUGUGAUACAAUUUUGUUUCAUGUAUUUCAAUCCUUUUCUUUUCCCUUGCCCAGGAUACCUUCCUUAAACACUUUUCCCAUUCUUCUAUAACAUAGUGUUUACAUCUUCCAAACAUAGUCUUUCUAGCAAUUUUAAACCCGCAGCAUCGCGCGGGCUUUCCUUUCUAGUAAACUAAUAUUGAUCAUUCUCAAUUUCUAACGUGUCACAAUUUCUGAUUGUCUGUGAAAUACUAAAGCUGAACUAAAAGAAGCAAUCGAUACGUCAUUGGCUGUUCCGAAAAGCGCACGUAGAAGAGAUAAGGAAGACAAAGUUCUACAUUGGAAGGAAAGA